CGGUGUAGCGGUGAAAUGCGUAGAUAUCGGGAAGAACACCAGUGGCGAAGGCGCUCUGCUGGGCCAUCACUGACGCUCAUGGACGAAAGCCAGGGGAGCGAAAGGGAUUAGAUACCCCUGUAGUCCUGGCCGUAAACGAUGAACACUAGGUGUCGGGGGAAUCGACCCCCUCGGUGUCGUAGCCAACGCGUUAAGUGUUCCGCCUGGGGAGUACGCACGCAAGUGUGAAACUCAAAGGAAUUGACGGGGGCCCGCACAAGCGGUGGAGUAUGUGGUUUAAUUCGAUGCAACGCGAAGAACCUUACCAGGGUUUGACAUCCUGCGAACCUCUUGGAAACAGGAGGGUGCCUUCGGGAACGCAGUGACAGGUGGUGCAUGGCUGUCGCCAGCUCGUGUCGUGAGAUGUUGGGUUAAGUCCCGCAACGAGCGCAACCCACGUCUUUAGUUGCCAGCAUUUAGUUGGGCACUCUAGAGAGACCGCCGGUGAUAAACCGGAGGAAGGUGUGGAUGACGUCAAGUCAUCAUGCCCCUUACAUCCUGGGCUACACACGUACUACAAUGCUACGGACAGAGGGCAGCAAGUUCGCGAGGACAAGCAAAUCCCAUAAACCGUGGCUCAGUUCAGAUCGUAGGCUGCAACUCGCCUACGUGAAGGAGGAAUCGCUAGUAAUCGCAGGUCAGCAUACUGCGGUGAAUACGUUCCCGGGCCUUGUACACACCGCCCGUCACACCAUGGAAGUUGGCCACGCCCGAAGCCGUUACUCCAACCCUCGGGAGGAGGACGUCGAAGGUGGGGCUGAUGACUGGGGUGAAGUCGUAACAAGGUAGCCGUA
rnacentral:rRNA from 1 species